UACGUAGGGCGCGAGCGUUAUCCGGAAUUAUUGGGCGUAAAGAGCUCGUAGGCGGUUUGUCACGUCUGCUGUGAAAACUGGAGGCUCAACCUCCAGCCUGCAGUGGGUACGGGCAGACUAGAGUGCGGUAGGGGAGAUUGGAAUUCCUGGUGUAGCGGUGGAAUGCGCAGAUAUCGGGAGGAACACCAGUGGCGAAGGCGGUUGCCUGGAGCUUUGCUGACGCUGAGGCGCGAAAGCGUGGGGAGCGAUCCGG
rnacentral:rRNA from 1 species